rnacentral:rRNA from 1 species
AUGAAAAGCAAUAGGGCUCCGGGCCCGGAUAAUAUACCUGCUGAAUUCUACCAGCAUUGUUGGGAUAUAGUUAAAGAGGACAUUAUGAAGCUGUUCACUGUCUCUCAUGCAGGAGAGCUCGACGUUAGUAGAUUGAACUAUGGUAUCAUAACUUUGUUACCAAAAAUCAAUGGGGCUAACAAAAUCCAGCAGUUUAGACCCAUCUGUUUGUUGAGAUGUCCUUACAAAUUGAUCACUAAGGUGCUCGAUAACAGAGUGGUACCUUUUGCUGACAAGUUAUUCAGUAGACAUCAGAAUGCAUUUAUUAAGCAUAGAAAUAUCAUGGAUGGGGUACUGUCUUUGCAUGAGAUUUUACAUCACACUUCCAUAAAAAAAGAGUAG